UACGACUACAUAUCAGGCAUAUCAAUAAGCGGAGGGAAAAGAGGGCUAUUACCUACGCUUAGGAUGUUGACACGCGCGCGUGCUCGGCUCUAUACAUGACUCUGCGAUAUCAAUAAGCGGAGGAAAAGAAACUAACAAGGAUUCCCCUAGUAACGGCGAGUGAAGCGGGAAGAGAUCAAAUUUGAAAUCUUAAAGGGUUUCCCUUUACGAAUUGUAGUUUAAAGAAGUGUUUUCUGUUGAGGUUUUGGUAAAAGUUCUUUGGAAUAGGACAUCAUAGAGGGUGAGAAUCCCGUAUUUGACCUUUACUUUCAACUUUGUGAUACACUUUCAAAGAGUCGGAUUGUUUGGGAAUGCAGUCCAAAAUGGGUGGUAAAUUUCAUCUAAAGCUAAAUAUUGGCGAGAGACCGAUAGCGAACAAGUACCGUGAGGGAAAGAUGAAAAGAACUUUGAAAAGAGAGUUAGACAGUACGUGAAAUUGUCAAAAGGGAAGCGUUUGACACCAGUGUUGUUUUUCUGAAAAUCAAUUAAAGAACUGUUUAUGCUAAGCUGUUUAGACUUUAUCAGCUAUCUGUUUAGUUUUGAGCUUUUCUUUAAUGCACUUUUCAGUUAACAAGUCAACAUCAAUUUCUUUUGCUGUAAAAAAGCUUGAGGAAGGUGGCUUGAGAUUCGUCUUAAGUGUUUAUAGCCUCUUGCCUAUGCAGUCGGAGAGAUUGAGGUCUGCAGCGUAGAUCCUUCGGGGCUAAAUGCAUUUGUGCUAAGUUAUAGCAUUUUAUAGACAACUUGUUGACUAUGAUUUGUCUUGUAGCUUACUCGCUUAUGUUAUUUUACCUACGCUUAGGAUGUUGAUCUACAGAGCGAGAGU
rnacentral:rRNA from 1 species